rnacentral:rRNA from 1 species
ACCAACAGGGAUUGCCCUAGUAACGGCGAGUGAAGCGGCAACAGCUCAAAUUUGAAAUCUGGCUCUUUCAGGGUCCGAGUUGUAAUUUGCAGAGGGCGCUUUGGCUUUGGCAGCGGUCCAAGUUCCUUGGAACAGGACGUCACAGAGGGUGAGAAUCCCGUACGUGGUCGCUAGCUAUUGCCGUGUAAAGCCCCUUCGACGAGUCGAGUUGUUUGGGAAUGCAGCUCUAAAUGGGAGGUAAAUUUCUUCUAAAGCUAAAUACUGGCCAGAGACCGAUAGCGCACAAGUAGAGUGAUCGAAAGAUGAAAAGCACUUUGGAAAGAGAGUCAAACAGCACGUGAAAUUGUUGAAAGGGAAGCGCUUGCAGCCAGACUUGCUUGCAGUUGCUCAUCCGGGCUUUUGCCCGGUGCACUCUUCUGCAGGCAGGCCAGCAUCAGUUUGGGCGGUGGGAUAAAGGUCUCUGUCACGUACCUCUCUUCGGGGAGGCCUUAUAGGGGAGGCGACAUACCACCAGCCUGGACUGAGGUCCGCGCAUUUGCUAGGAUGCUGGCGUAAUGGCUGUAAGCGGCCCGUCUUGAAACACGGACCAAGGAGUCUAACAUCUAUGCGAGUGUUUGGGUGUCAAGCCCGAACGCGUAAUGAAAGUGAACGGAGGUGGGAACCCGCAAGGGUGCACCAUCGACCGAUCCUGAUGUCUUCGGAAGGAUUUGAGUAAGAGCAUGGCUGUUGGGACCCGAAAGAUGGUGAACUAUGCUUGAAUAGGGUGAAGCCAGAGGAAACUCUGGUGGAGGCUCGCAGCGGUUCUGACGUGCAAAUCGAUCGUCAAAUUUGGGCAUAGGGGCGAAAGACUAAUCGAACUAUCUAGUAGCUGGUUCCUG